rnacentral:rRNA from 1 species
GCACGGUCCGGGGCAGCGGCGGGGGUAGUACGGAGGGGGCGUGCGUGGGUCGGAAUUACUGGGCGUAAAGCGCGCGGAGGCGGCCAUGCAAGGUAGGCGUGAAGGGCCGGGGCUCAACCUGGGAACUGCGCUUCAGACUGCACGGCUUGAGUCCGGGAGAGGGUGGUGGAAUUCCCAGUGUAGAGGUGAAAUUCGUAGAUAUUGGGAGGAACACCAGUGGCGAAGGCGGCCACCUGGCCCGGUACUGACGCUCAAGUGCGAAAGCGUGGGGAGCAAACAGGAUUAGAUACCCCUGUCGUC